rnacentral:rRNA from 1 species
CCUACGGGAGACAGCAGUGAGGAAUAUUGGUCAAUGGCCGUAAGGCUGAACCAGCCCAGUCGCGUGAAGGAAGAAGGAUCUAUGGUUUGUAAACUUCUUUUAUCGGGGAAUAAAGUUCUCCACGUGUGUAUAUUUGCAUGUACCCUAUGAAUAAGCCUCGGCUAACUCCGUGCCAGCAGCCGCGGUAAUACGGAGGAUGCGAGCGUUAUCCGGAUUUAUUGGGUUUAAAGGGUGCGUAGGUUUUUUUUUAAGUCAGCGGUGAAAGUUUGGCUCAACCAUAAAAGUGCCGUUGAAACUGGAAGACGUGAGUGUGUUUGAGGUAGGCGGAAUGCGUGGUGUAGCGGUGAAAUGCAUAGAUAUCACGAAGAACUCCGAUUGCGAAGGCAGCUUACUAAGCCAUAACUGACACUGAAGCACGAAAGCGUGGGGAUCAAACAGGAUUAGAUACCCUAGUAGUC